UUUCCGUAGGUGAACCUGCGGAAGGAUCAUUAUUGUAUAACCGAGGUGCGAGGGCUGUCGCUGACCCGAAAGGUCGUGCACGCCCGAGUGCCCUCACUCACAUCCAUCUCACCCCUAUGUGCACCACCGCGUGGGUCCCCCUUUGGCUUGUUCGGAGGGGGGCUUACGCUUUCACACAAACUUUGUAUGCAGUGUAGAAUGUAUUUUUUGUUUUUGCGAUCACGCAAUCAAUACAACUUUCAGCAACGGAUCUCUUGGCUCUC
rnacentral:misc_RNA from 1 species